UUAUAUUUUUAUUUUUAAGGACGAAUCUCCAAAAAAUGACCUUUCUAAAUUUAUGUCACAAAAAUAGCUCUCACAAACUAAAAUGACCAAAAUAUCAUUUUAUUUUUGAAAUUUUUUUUUUUUUUUAUUUUUCAAAAUUUGAAAUCUUAUCCCCAAAACCCCAUUCCCCAACUCUAAACCCUAAAACCUAAACUCUAAACUCUAAACCCUAAACUCCACCCCUUAACUCUAAACCCUAAUGUCUAAAUUAAUUUACUAUUGAGAUAUAAGUGUAUAUGUAUCUCUUUUGAUGAAAAAUUAAGUGCUAUUUUGGUCAUUUUUAUUCUUAGAGGGUAUAUUUGUGACAAAAAAAAAAUUAAUGCUAUCCUAGUCAUUUUCUCUAUUUUUAAAUUUGUUUUUAUUUUUUGACAAUAUCUAACAUAAUAGAUAGUAUUAAUUAUUUAUUAAGAGUAACAUAGAUAUUAGUCACUCUAACUUUUAACAUGAGAGAUCGAAUAUUAAAAAUCACUUCAUAAAUAAUAAUUUAGAUAUAUUUGAUAUAUUUUAUAAAUAUUGAAUAGUUUGGAUGGUUCAAAUAAAAAGAGAAAUAAAUCAGAUUAUUUCAAUUAUUUUAAAUACACCAAAUAAUUUGAAAAUAGGUAAAUUAAAUAUUUUAGUUUUAAAAUAGUUUUAAAUCUAAAUUAUAUUUUUUAGUAUUCAUUUGAUUUUUAACUCCAAAUAUUUUGGAUGUUAGAAAUAUAAAAAAUAGUUAUUCAUAUUUUUGGUUUACUUUUGUAAUUUGGUUUGGUAUUUAAUUUGCCAUGUCUAGUUUGAUUAACAAAGGUAUAAGGAUCUCCAAAAAAAAAGCAAACGGAAAUGUCGAACCCGUGACUUGAAGGUAUUGGCCGGCGCAACCUUAUGUAUUGAGACAGAACACUCUUUGGCUUUUUUUUCUCUCUCUCACACAGACAUCAUCCUCAUCACACCCUUUCCUCGCACGCUCACAUUCACCACCUCUCUUCUAUUCUUCUUUCAUGGCUUCUCUCUCAGAUCUGAUCCACCAGUUGCACUUCUUUGUUUUCCAAUCUUAAGAUCCAAACCUCUCGCCCAAAUCAGUCGUACCUAACCUCACGCGCCACCGCCAUGUCCACUCCACCACUGCUCCCUGUCACCAAUCAGCAAGCUGUUCAAUCUCAGCCACCAAUCAACACUCCCGCCUUCCAUACCUUCUUCUCACGCCUAUCCACCUCGAUCCGCGACGGCUUAUCACAACGCCGCCCAUUGGCAGAGCUCGUCGAUCGGAGCUCCAUGGCGCGACCUGAAUCCCUCACCGACGCUUUGUCACGGAUCCGGAAGAAUCUGGCCUACUUUAAGGUGAACUACGUCGCCGUCAUUCAAUUAUAAAGGAGGAGAAACAGAGGAAGUUGAAACGAAACCAUCAAGGAAUGAGUUAAGAAAAUAAUUGAAUGAGGAAGUGUGGGUUGUGUGUGAUAACGGUGAAUUGCAGUGAGUCCUCCAAACGACGAAGAAAAAAAAUUGACGGAUAAUUAUUGUUUGUUAUUAGAGUUUAGGUUUUUCUGAGAUGGGGUUCAAGUGGGCCACUGAAAAUUAUUAUUGGCCCAGAGAUGUUAUCAGAUUUUUAUACUUGUCGACUUGAGGCUGUUAUGACGUGGCAGAAUAAAGUGUUUUUAUUGGCUUGAAUUAAUUGCUGACGUGGACAGCCUCCCUACUCCUCAUAUAACCCUUUUAGUAUUAGAUAGAUUUAAUUUUUAACCUUAUUUAUUUAAUUUUGACCUUAUCUUUAUAAUUUUUAACAUUUAAUUUAAGUUUUACCUUGUCAGUUUAGUUUUAAACUUUUAUUUACUUUUCCAGUUUUAACGAUUUUAUUCAACUUUUGACUUUAUUUUAAAAAUUAAUUUGUUUCUUAGAUUUUACUUUAUAUUUUUAUAACUUCAGGUGAGAUUCAUAAGCUCCAUAAAGGAGGCAUCCAGCUGGUGAAUGUCUCGGAUGCGCUUGCCGAUCUAUUCCACCAAAUCAGAGGCGGGUAUAUCAAACGUAAAAAUAAACAUUGUGAAUAUGGGACUGCCACUGGCCAAUGUGUUUAUACAGUCAACCUCCAGGCGGCAGCAGGCUCGUUAAUCAGUGAAUCCCCAUGGGUUUUAGAUCGUAUAUGUUUGCAAUUAUGACAGUCGCUGUUGAGUUGGAUUUAUUAUCUCAUAAAUUUUGUUUAUAUACAAUUAUGCAGGCUUUUAACGUUUAAACGAGUAAAAAUUUGCAUCUUAACGGAGUUGUUGGUCA